GCCCUGAUAGCUCAGUCGGUAGAGCAGGGGAUUGAAAAUCCCCGUGUCCUUGGUUCGAUUCCGAGUCCGGGCACCA
rnacentral:tRNA from 2 species